UACGAAGGGGGCUAGCGUUGUUCGGAUUUACUGGGCGUAAAGCGCGCGUAGGCGGAUCGUUAAGUCGGGGGUGAAAUCCUGGAGCUCAACUCCAGAACUGCCUUCGAUACUGGCGAUCUAGAGUCCGGAAGAGGUGAGUGGAACUCCUAGUGUAGAGGUGGAAUUCGUAGAUAUUAGGAAGAACACCAGUGGCGAAGGCGGCUCCCUGGUCCGGUACUGACGCUGAGGUGCGAAAGCGUGGGGAGCAAACAGG
rnacentral:rRNA from 1 species